GGAGGGUAAAAUUGCAGCUAGCCUCUGACCACAGGGAAAUCAACCUAACGGCUUCUCUCAGGCCAUUCUCCAGCCCUGCACCCUGGAAUGUUCACGGGGUGUCUGUGCAUCUGCCCUAAUUCCAGCCCACAGGACACUUGUUCACUCUUUCUUGUGACCCCAACAUGUCAACUGGCAAGACUCAACAUUCCUGUCUGGGACGGAGCAGCUUGAACCACUUGUAUGAGUCACAGAUGUUUACAAAAGAAACAGAAAGUAAAUCUCAUCAGGAGGAAAAAGUCAGACAAACCCAAAAUGUUGGGUCAUUCUCCAGAAAAAUUGACCUCCACUCUUCAAAAAUGUCAAGAUCAUAAAAGGACAAAAAAGGUUUGAGGUACCUAUAAGGAGCUACUGAUGCCUUCUGGAAACUAUGUGUGGGCUGCUAAUGAGAGAACAUGACCAUUUGCUGUGACUGUGUUAGUCAAGUGAUAUACAUAGAUCGCCCCAGCAAGUGCCUCCUGAGGACUUGCAGCCCCAGCCCUAGAUCAUAUCAAGUACAACUUCAGCUAUUAAUCUGGCUAAUGAUGGUCCAGGUGUAACAAAUCCCACCUGAUUGAAAGCGGCAGGGGUAGACGUGUUAACUUUUAUAAAAACAUAGGUACAAGGUAUAAGAUUGGGAUUCUGAUUCUUGGCUCCUCAAAGGCCUGAAGAAUGAAGAUUGAUGCCAUCUAAAAGCAAAUUAGAAGACUUUGCCCAGGCCCAGGCCCUGGAAUAGUAUACUGGAGAUGACACUGUGUUUAGAGUGCUGUUUCAGGUUAAAUCAGCAUACCUGCAAUGUGCCAGACCUACUGUCACAGCAAUAUGUACCCUGGUUCGCAAACACAGUGUUUGCUCUCUGGCAGCCACAUGCACUUGGAACUGGCAGUAAUGACCUCACAAAAGCAGGAAAGCUGAGCAGUUAGUCAGAUGAUUAACAAGGUACUGAGAUGGAAGAGUUGGGUAUCACUUAAUGGAAAUAUCUUGGCAUCUCAGAAUCAAAGUUUCCAAACUCGGAAGCAGUUUAGGAACCAUCAUAUCCAAAAUCCUUGCUUUACAAAUGUGGCAACUGAAGCUUCAAAAAAAAAGGUAGGAGGUCUCAGGGCUCCUUGCCUGAACGAAGUAAAAGUGUGAUUCUCCCAAUACAAUUUGCUCAGGCCUCCCUUUCAGUGACAGCAGGGCCUUUAGUCUCAGCUACAGCCGUUAAGUCAUCCCCAGUGCUUGACUUCUAUUUCUCCUUUCCUCUUAAUGAUUCUUUUUUUUUUUUAUUCUUAUUCUAUUUUUGAGAGUCUUGCUCUGUCACCCAGGUUGGAGUGUAGUGGUACAAUAUGGGCUCACUGCAACCUCAGCCUCCAGUGUUCCAGUGAUUCUCAUUCCUCAGCCUCCCGAGUAGGGCUAAUUUUUGUAUUUUUUAGUAGAGAUGGGGUUUCACCAAGUCAGCCAGGCUGGUCUUGAACUCCUGGCCUCAAGUGAUCCACCCACCUCGGCCUUCCAAAGUGCUGGGGAUUACACGUGUGAGCCACUGUGUUAGGCCACAUUUUUAUUUCCAAUUAUUUUGUUAGUAUUUUGUUUACCCAGACAGAAAAGGAGGAUUAUACCCCAUUCCACCAUCCCAGUCCAACCUCUCCACUGUGGCUCCAAUGCUACAGACCACUCCCAACUUCAGUCCUGGAAGAAUGGAAGGCUGCAGCUGAGAGACUGGGGUUAGAAGUGAUCUUCACAAAUUGUUUGUGUACCCUCUGUCUAGAGUUCUUAAGGUAUGGGUCCUCCAGGUGGUUUUCUCUUAUGUAAUCAUGUUUAUGAGGUGAAAUUAUUUGACAAUGUGCUUGUACUAUUUUCAAAUAAUGAAAACCAGUCAUUGCCCUACUGAUGUCUCAUCAGAACAAAAAUUCUGCCUUCCAUGUGCAGACUGCUCACUGGUUUUCAGAACUACUGCUUCUCUCCUCCGGAACAGCUCUACCUUCCAACUGGGAAAGUGGCUGCACUGAGUUGUUCCUCCCGCCUCCCUUCUCUCCUGCUACCCCACCGGCUCCUCCUCCAACUUUGCAGAUUCUCUAGGUUGAUGUCUAUGUUGAUCUGCAGGUGGGCUCCAGUUGGAGAGUCUCUGGACAAAAGCAAAGCCUACUUUUCUCCAGGGUGAAAGGCGUGGGGAGAGGCCAUGAGGAUGGGAAGAGGAAUGUGCCCGAAAUCAAAAUGCUUCUCUCCUGGAUGCUUCUCCUGGAAGUCAGGAAAGAAUUCUAGAUCGCUAGCUCUGAUCAGACUCUUGUGCUAAAGAAACAGGCUGUAGGGGAAGUCUCUUCUAACACUGCCCUGGAGCUAUGUUAUUUCCUAGACUGGCUCGGAAAAUAUCUGUCUUUGAGGACAAUGCCGCUUUAGGGUAGAAUCUAGCAAAACACCACCGUUCAACAUGGUCCUGGCACGGGUCUUCCCUGUGGGCGUGGCAGGCCAAAAAGGACACAUAGUUUAGGUUUGACAGCCUAAGAUAUGAAUCCCAGUUGAGCCAUUGACUAGCUGUGACCUUGAGCACAAGAACUUUCCUGAACUUCAAGUUUUCUCAUCUGUAAGUCAGGGUUAAUAAUACUUACACGGUGGCCCUAAAAAAUCAGAGAGAGAAAAAAAUCUAUGCAAAAUGCCUGCUUCAUACAAAGGGCCCAGAAAGCGGUAGUUUUUGUUUUUGUUGUUGUUGUUGUUGUUUGUUUUUAGACAAAGUUUCGCUCUUUUCGCCCAGGCUGGAGUGCAAUGGCGCGUUCUCGGCUCACUGCAACAUCUGCCUCCCGGGUUCAAGAGAUUCUCCUGCCUCAGCCUCCCGAGUAGUUGGGAUUACAGGCGCGCCACCACGCCUGGCUAAUUUUUGUAUUUUUAGUAGAGACAAGGUUUCUCCAGGUUUGCCAGGCUGGUCUCAAACUCCUGAUCCCAGGUGGUCUGCCUGCCUCGGCCUCCCAAAGUGCUGGGAUUACAGGCGUUAGCCACCGCGCUCGAAGCUAUUAUUUUUAAUAACUGAAGGUAAGCCUAGGGGAAACUCAGAAAUCAAGAACUCCUAUAAGAAAAAAGGAACAGAAAUAGCCUAGACUGGCGCUCCCCAGACUCUGCAGCUGGUGGCGCUGCCCACGGAGGGGGCAGGUUGGGGGCAGGGGAUCAAGGGAAGACGAAGAUGAUGGGGCGCACGGCUAGUUUUGCGUCGGGAAAGGGUGGCCCUGGGCCUCUUGCGGGGGAAGGAAGAGAUGAAGCCACGUGACAGAGUCAGAGCUCAAAGCCAAGCCCCGAGCGCGCGGCAGACCGGAUGCGGGAAGUGGGCUCGGGGCCCUGCUCUCCUGCCCGGCUCGCCGGCCUGCGUCAGCUGACCUGGUUUCCGCGGGCCCCGCGCCCUCGCGCUCCCGCCACCCCCGACCCGCUCCGCGCCAGCCGGCCCAGCCCUCCCUCCCCAGCCAGCCCCGCCGCCGCGGCCUCUUGGCCCAGCGCCUGGGGCCGUCCUGCCGCUCCCCUGAGUCGCCCUGCGAAGGCCGCAGCCGCCUGCUUAGCCCAGGAACCUUCACCUCCCCAGGACCCGCGCCUUCACCUAGGGACUCCGCCCCCUGCUCCCCACGGCCGCCCUGCGCCCCUCUGUCCCCCGCAGCUGCCCGAGCCCCCAGCAAGGGCCACCGAGGGCUCCAGGAACACCCCAGGCCCGGUCUUCUCGCUCACAGCGCCCCACCUGUGACCCUUAGCGACCCUCCUGCGCUGCCCUGCGGCGGCGAGGUGGUCGGGAGGCUCCGCACCAUCGCAGCCUCCCAGCCUCCCAGCCUCCCAGCCUCGCGCCGGGUAUGGAGGGGAGGGUGGGGUUCCUGAGUCCGGAAGAAAGGGUCGCGGCUGCGGCCGCACUGGCCGUCGGGCCUACAUCCGCCCCGCUGCCACGCGGUUCACAAACGAGGGAAGGGGAGAAGGGAAGAAACCCUUGAUUCGGGUACACGUCCUUGUGCCUGGAACUGUACAUCCUGUCCCCUCGCUUAAUCCUCACAAGACCUGUGGGGCGUGUCGUCAUUGUAGGCCUGGAGAUGAGGAGGCCGAGGCUCGGAGAGAUGAAGCAUUGAACGGCCUCCGAGCGGCUGGUUUGCAGCAGAGCCAAAGCCAGCAUUUUUUCUUAGCGGCGGUAGUUUGAGCCGCGCCUUACUGCAGCUACUCUGCCGUCAGCCGAGAGGUCACAUCUUUUCUGGAACUCCCUCCCCGCUCACGUAAUGGAAGCAGUCAGUCGACUCUUCCAGUAGAAAUUAUUUUGCCACUUUUGGGGGGAAUCUUGAGUUACCAGCUCAUCUCUCAGGUGUUGGAUAACGCUUUCCUUGACCCCACAGGGUCCUCCAGCACCUCUGCUUCCUUUGUUGGUAGCCCUUAUCAUACCACCUAUUGCAACUGCUCAUUUUCUCAUCUGUCCCUCUGCAGAGGGAGUGAAGGUACCUGAGUACCGGAACCGUGGUCUUCAUUGCCACCUCAGCAUUAGCUGAAGUGCCAUGUGCCGACUCCCAGGGUGCCACAGCUUCCCAGGAACACCAUUUAAGAACCCCUGAACUAGAGUUUGCAAGUUAAAAGUAAAGCAAGAAGGAAACCCAGAGACAACUGUGAAAAUCUUUCAUCACCUUCAUAUUGGCCAUCAUUUAUUGAGUGCUUAUUAUACAACAGGCAUUGUUUUCAGUGUGUGAAUACAGUGUUCCUCAAACGUAAAUGUGGGGCCCAACGCAGGGGAUCUUGGUAAAAUGCAGAUUCUGAUUCAGUACCUCUGGGGUGGGGCCUGAGAUUCUGCAUUUCCAACAAGCUCCCAGGAUACUUUGUGUAGAAGGACAUUGGCAUAUUAAUUUAUUCGAUCUUCUUAAUAAUCCUAAAAAGUACCACUGCUAUUCCCAUUCUGCAGAUGAGGAAACAGAUUAAGCAUUAUGAACUUACAUCAAAAUAAUAGACUGCAGGGCAAGGAGGGGGGGAAUAGUGUGGGCAGUGUACAGUUUUAGAAGAAGCAGAAAGGAAGUUCUAGGCAGAAGAAAAAGGAUUUACAGAAAACCUGACAUGCAAGAUAGGGGGACAGGGCCCACACCCAGGGCUGUUCACCAUUAGAUAAUCUAUGCACAGUACUUGGGGCUGUGGGCUUCCUGAAGGUCCCAAGUAUUUGAGACCUGAAAAAAAAUCUUUGGCACCUACACAGAAAAAAAUUGAAUAUUUAAAUUGACAAUUCAAAAAUUCAAAUCAUGAAUUGUUUCAAAAAUUUUGCAUGAUAGAAUUCAUAUUUGGUAAGUGAUAUGGGAAUAUUUCAAUGCAUUUGAUUUUAAAAAGGGGUAGGGCCUACUAAGGACAGGCCACUAAGAACAGGCCAAGCCCUGGCCUCACUGGGUUUGGAUGUAAUCCUGAGGGCAGCCAGGAACCACUGAUAGAGGCAGGAGAAUGUUCUCUGUGGCUACAGUGAGGAGAAUGGAUUGGAGGGAGGCCAGACUGAAGGCCGAGCGGCUAGAGACCAGAUAGGCAGUUACAGUCUUCAGAUUGCAAGACAAUCUCUCUUUAGUGCCAAGCUUAGCAUAAAAUCAUAGCAUUAUAUAACCCAAUUAUUCUUUGAUUCCUUCGGCCUCAAUCUGACUCAGCAUUCUAAAUUUACUUAAGAUCUGGGGACAAGCAUUUUGCCAAAUCCUUUCCCAUGAAGGCAAAUGAUGUUACGAUCAGCACAUGCCUUGAGCCAGACAGACAUGGGUACUGGCCUCAGUUCUGCUGCUUGGGUGACUUUGCACAAGUGAUUUAAUUUCUCUGGGCCUCAGAUUCCUUACUGGUAACAUGAGCAUUAUGUAUUCCUCACAGAAUUAAGUGAGAAAACUAUGUAUAGUCCUAUGUGUAGGACUUCUUCUGGGGUGGGUACUUAGAAAGAAAUGGUAGCUGUUAUCAUUUAUGUGCCUUUGUUCUGAAAUCUGCUUAAGUUUUCUCUAGGAAUAGAGGGUAAAAUAUUUAGUAUUUUCAUCAAUCUUCUGAGGUUAAAAAUUAUUAUCCCCAUUUUGCAGAUAAGGAAAAUGGUUCAGGGAUUAGAUCACAGCUCUGUGAAGCAGGGGCACAAAGUGAUCAACCUGCAAGAGCUGGAACUUUAUUUUCCUUGUCCUUCUGUCCAUGCACUCGCUCCAGCAGUUGACAUCUGCCCUCUUUGAUGGCUCCACGACCAAUUUCCCUUAGUCAUGGCAUGAGUCAGCCGUAAGGGCUGAUGGCACACCACCGAAUACUCUGCUGUGGCUCCACUAGCUGCCAUUCUCCUUCUUCUCCAAACUUUUCCAGCCUCCCUAAUACCUUGCCCCCCAGUUUUACAGCUUCUGGAUUUUCCUUAUUAAAGAGCUUGUCUCUGAGACUCA